AGAGCUGGGCGGGUUAAGGAGGAGGAUGGCGCCGUCCUGCAGAUGUGCGGGGACGCGCGCCCGCCGCAACGUGAGGCUCAUAGGCCACACGCAACUCUGAGCAUUGGCCAGGACCUGUAGUAGCCAACAGGACACUUAAUAACUGAUGUAUAGGUGCGCACUGUGUGUCCAGAGCUUUACGUUAACCACCUCACUGUGUCAUCUCGCUGAGGUUGUGUGGUUUACUAUUACUGCUAUUAGCGCAUUUUUAAGCGGGAAACCUGAGGCAUGAGGAGGUAAGGAGCUUUGAGGAGGGUUGCACGGGUGUUAAGUAGCGCGGUCAGCACCUGAUCCCCGUCACUCAUCAGUACGGCGGUUGGAGGGGAAUGCCUGCUGGAGGGGACCACGAACUAAACUCAAUCGCCCCCACAGGGUGUGCUCGCCGUGGUUCCUAUAAAGCUGUAAGGGAGGCUACACAGCGUGCAGCGUUGUUGCUGAGGGAUCGCACACUUCCCGUAGAUUUUGUUGCUAGUUCUGGUGCACUAACGUGGAUGGACUGCUUGCUGUCUGUAGGGCCUGCCCACGGUCAGCGCUACAGAAUUCAGGCCCGGCGUAGCUACUUCCAACCCUUCAGAUCUUCACUUCCUGUUGGAACUGUCCUCUAGACUGUAGCCUCUGCCAGAAAUAAUUCAUUUUGAAUACCCUUGUAACACCCAAUUCCUUGAUCUCCUAUCAUUCCCCUGGCAGGGUCAGUCCUCGACCUUGUCCCCCCAAAUUGCUUCGUCUCUGAAUCCAGACUCUGAAGUUCGGCUCUGCCUACCACCUUAAGUUAUCCGAUGUGGCCUUACCGUCAGCCUAGUCUUUGACUACAGGAAGACCUCUCUUCCUGAAGAAGACGCCUCUUUUCAUCCAUUCACUCUGGAAAUGAUUCAACGUCUGCCUGCUGCUGAUGCUUUACUCUCCACCAGGGGUUUUCGAAGUGUGCUUCCCCAUUCCCCCUGGGCCUAUAGCAUCAGCAUCAGGGAACUUGUCAGUAACGCACAUUCUUGGGCCCCAACCCAGAACUACUGAAUCAGAAACUUGGGGUGAGGGCCUGUCGUGGUGGCUCAUGCCUGUAAUCCCAACACUUUGGGAAGCAGAGGAGGGUGGAUCACCUGAGGUCAGGAGUUGAGGACCAGCCUGGCUAACAUGGUGAAACCCCGUCUCUACUAAAAAUAGAAAAAUUAGCCAGAUGUGGUGGCGUGUGCCCAUAAUCCUAGCUACUCGGGAGACUGAGGCAGGAGACUCGCUUGAACCCAAGAGGCGGAGGUUGCAGUGAGCCAAGAUUGCACCACUGCACUCUAGCCUGGGCGACAGAGUGAGACUCCGUCUCAAAAAAAAAAAAAGAACUCAGGGUGAGGCCCAGCCGGCUGUGGUUUUAUGAGCUUUUCAGGGGAUACUGAUGCGGGAUCAAAUUUGAGAAGCACUGGUCUAGGUCUUAGAUCCUCUUGCUUCAGUUUCGUCAUUGGAUCUCAGGAAUGUUCAGCUGCCCUCUCAAGGCAACUUCUUACUUCACUUGACCUUCCAAGACCUCUCGUUCUGUCAAACCCCAAUUUUGGAUCAACCCAGGCAUGCUUCCCUCAUGUGUUCCAAAGCUGGUCAGAGUAGUCUACACCACUAUCUGCUUCAACUUCUAGUAACGUCUAAGCCUUCAGCAGUUUUGCUUAUGAAACUGCUUCACUGAAGUUCUCCACCACCAAGUAGUCAGCUGGCAUCGGAAUUCGGCUUGUGUCAAAUGGAACUCAACAUCUUCCUCUUCAGGACAUCCCCUAUUUUCAUCCUCCCAUGCCAGGAUUACAGGCGUAAAACUCCCAUGCUGGGCUGGUCAAAGUGCUGGGAUUACAGGCAUAAGACAACGCACCUGGAACUUGGCUUGUGUCAAAUGGAACUCAACAUCUUCCCUUUUACUAAACCCCACCCAACAUUCACUGCGCACAAGUUGUCUUAUUCACUGGACUUCUAAUAUGUUUAAGGGGUCUGUCCCCAUUUAUUUUUUGAAACGGGGUCUUUCUGUGUUGCCCAGGCUGGAGUGCAGUGGUUGUUCACAGGUGCCAACCUACUAUUGAUCAGCAUGGGAGCUUUGGGGUUUUAAAACAAAUUUUUUAAGCCAGUCAUAUUUAGCAGUGGGGGGUUGUAUACCAACUUUAGUGACACUAAUGUUAUUAAAUUCUAAUAACCCACUACCAUCAGACCAGCCCAGCUUGGGAGUUUUGACCUGCUCCAUUUCCGACCUGGGCUGUUUCACCCCUCCAUAGACAACCUGGAUAGUCCCCUGUCCUGGGAGGUCACCAUGUUGAAGCUGAACUUAGUGUGGACACCCAAACUGCAUAAUGCAUUACAGUCUAGAACUCCUGGGCUCAAGGGAUCCUCCCACCUCAGCCUCCUGAGUAGCUAGGACCACAGGGUGCACCACCGCGCCCAGCUGUCUUCCUUUUUUUUUCUGAGACCGAGCCUCACUCAGCUGUCCAAGCUAGAGUGCAGUGGUGUGAUCUCCAUUCACUGCAACCACUGUCUCCCUGGUUCAAGCGAUUCUCCUGUCUCAGCCUCCUGAGUAGCUGGGAUUACAGGAACCUACCAUCAUGCCCGGCUAAUUUUUGUAUUUUAGUAGAGAUGGGGUUUUACUAUGUUGGCCAAGCUAGUCUUGAACUCCCGACCUCAGGUGAUCUGCCCACCUUGGCCUCCCAAAGUGCUAGGAUUAUAGGCAUGAGCCACCACGCCCAGCCCCCUACCCUUAAAAAAAUUAUAUAUAUAUAUAAUAGAGACAGGGUUGCGCUAUGUUGCCCAGGCUGGUCUUGAACUCCUGGGCUCAAGGGAUCCUCCUGCCUUGGCCUCAAAAGUGCUGGAAUUACAGGCAUGGGCCACUGCACCCAGCCUAUCUUACAUUUUUUUUAAACUCAGAGCAUACCUCAUUUCAAUUUUCCUCCUCUCUUGCUUGGGUUCAUGUAAAAUCUUUCUAACUGGUUUCCAAGUGUCUGCUCUAUUAUGCUCCGUAUAUCCUCCAUACUCUAGUCUGCUCCUACGAACUUCAGCAUCUUCGGCCCCUCUGCCUGGAAUUUACAUCUUUCCAAUCCUGCCUCACAAAUUUUCUAUUAUAUAAGGCUCCGAAAUAUGAACUAGAAGUAAUUUCCGUGAAGCUGAUGACUUUAUCUGGCAUAUGGUAAGCUCUGAAUCAAUGUUUAUUGAAAGAAUGAAAUGUCACCCCUUUGUGAAGCCUUCCAGAGUUGUCCCUGAAGAAUUAAUUUCUCAACUCCA
rnacentral:lncRNA from 1 species